rnacentral:tRNA from 3 species
GGAAGCGUGGCUGAGCGGUUGAAGGCGCCGGUCUCGAAAACCGGUAUACCCGCAAGGGUAUCGGAGGUUCGAAUCCUCCCGCUUCCG